rnacentral:rRNA from 1 species
AGAAUCAACGCUGGCGGCGUGCCUAACACAUGCAAGUCGCACGAGAAAGGGACUUCGGUCCUGAGUAAAGUGGCGCACGGGUGAGUAACACGUGAAUAAUCUACCUCCGAGUGGGGAAUAACUGAGAGAAAUCUUAGCUAAUACCGCAUAACACUUACGAGUCAAAGCAGCAAUGCGCUUGGAGAGGAGUUCGCGGCAGAUUAGUUAGUUGGCGGGGUAAUGGCCCACCAAGACGAUGAUCUGUAUCCGGCCUGAGAGGGCGCACGGACACACUGGAACUGAAACACGGUCCAGACUCCUACGGGAGGCAGCAGUGGGGAAUUUUGCGCAAUGGGGGAAACCCUGACGCAGCAACGCCGCGUGGAGGAUGAAAUCCCUUGGGAUGUAAACUCCUUUCGAUAGGAACGAUUGUGACGGUACCUGUAGAAGAAGCACCGGCCAACUAUGUGCCAGCAGCCGC